AUUGAACGCUGGCGGCAUGCUUUACACAUGCAAGUCGAACGGCAGCGGGGACUUCGGUCCGCCGGCGAGUGGCGAACGGGUGAGUAAUGCAUCGGAACGUGCCUAUCAGUGGGGGAUAACGCUUUGAAAGGAGUGCUAAUACCGCAUAUUCUUUGAGGAGGAAAGCAGGGGACCUUAGGGCCUUGCGCUGAUAGAGCGGCCGAUGUCGGAUUAGCUAGUUGGUGAGGUAAAGGCUCACCAAGGCGACGAUCCGUAGCGGGUUUGAGAGGAUGAUUCGCCACACUGGGACUGAGACCCGGCCCAGACUCCUACGGGAGGCAGCAGUGGGGAAUUUUGGACAAUGGGCGCAAGCCUGAUCCAGCCAUGCCGCGUGAGUGAAGAAGGCCUUCGGGUUGUAAAGCUCUUUCGGACGGGAAGAAAUUGCAUGGGCUAAUACCCUGUGCGGAUGACGGUACCGUAAUAAGAAGCACCGGCUAACUACGUG
rnacentral:rRNA from 1 species